rnacentral:lncRNA from 1 species
AAUGGUUAUAAAUGCUAUGGAAUAGGCUCUUUUUAUUAACGGUUCUGUCUUCUAUAUAUUCUCCCUAUUUACUUUUCUUUUAUAAUUACAAUAAUCUCAAAAUUAAUUUUUUAAUAAAGUCCACGAACAAUUCUCUUUACAAUUUGCUUGAACAUGGACAAAUCGAUAUCUUCAUCUUUUAUGUUUUCCACUUCCAAUGUAAC